CUCAAAGAUUAGCUCAUUGCUUUGCCAAUGGCCUCGAAGCACGUUUGGCUGGGACAGGAACCCAGAACUAUACUGCCUUGUCUUCUGAAAAAGCUUCAGCUGCAGAUAUGUUGAAAGCUUACCACGCCUACAUUUCUGCCUGUCCGUUUAAGAAGAUUGCAAUCAUCUUUGCAAACCUAUAGUAUUCUGGCUGCUUCAAAGAAUGCAACAACACUUCAUAUAAUAGACUUUGGUA
rnacentral:misc_RNA from 1 species